UCCCGUUUAGCUCAGUUGGUAGAGCGCGUCACUAGUAACGUGAUUUCGAAAAUCACACGUGACCUUGAAAGUCACAUUGCGACAUGACGAGGUCAGUCGUUCGAGUCGGCUAAUGGGAA